rnacentral:rRNA from 1 species
ACGGGUGCGUAACGCGUGGGAAUCUGCCCUUGGGUCUGGAAUAACAGUUAGAAAUGACUGCUAAUACCGGAUGAUGACUUCGGUCCAAAGAUUUAUCGCCCAGGGAUGAGCCCGCGUCGGAUUAGCUAGUUGGUGGGGUAAAAGCUCACCAAGGCGACGAUCCGUAGCUGGUCUGAGAGGAUGAUCAGCCACACUGGGACUGAGACACGGCCCAGACUCCUACGGGAGGCAGCAGUGGGGAAUAUUGGACAAUGGGCGAAAGCCUGAUCCAGCAAUGCCGCGUGAGUGAUGAAGGCCUUAGGGUUGUAAAGCUCUUUUACCCGGGAUGAUAAUGACAGUACCGGGAGAAUAAGCCCCGGCCAACUCCGUGCCAGCAGCCGCGGUAAUACGGAGGGGGCUAGCGUUGUUCGGAAUUACUGGGCGUAAAGCGCACGUAGGCGGCUUUGUAAGUUAGAGGUGAAAGCCCGGGGCUCAACUCCGGAAUUGCCUUUAAGACUGCAUCGCUAGAAUUGUGGAGAGGUAAGUGGAAUUCCGAGUGUAGAGGUGAAAUUCGUAGA